rnacentral:snoRNA from 10 species
UCGCUGUGAUGAUGUCAUUCCUACAUUCGCAGUUUGCACCUGAGGUCUUCGGACCGAGAGAAGGCCCAAUACUUCCUUGGAUGUCUGAGCGA